rnacentral:rRNA from 1 species
AUAAAUUUUUUAUGAUUUUGUAAAUUUAUUAUAAGUUUAUUUUACAUAUAAAUUUUAGUGUUAAUUUUUAAUUAUUUAAAUAAUAAUUAUUAUAUAUUGUAGUAAUUGAUAUUAAAAAUUUAAGAAAUUAAGAUUUAGUAAUACAAAAAUUAUUAACAAAUUUUGUGCCAGCAGUUGCGGUU